rnacentral:rRNA from 1 species
AGUGAACGCUGGCGGCAGGCCUAACACAUGCAAGUCGAACGGCAGCGGGCAGUAGCAAUACUGUGCCGGCGAGUGGCGGACGGGUGAGGAAUACAUCGGAAUCUACCUUGUCGUGGGGGAUAACGUAGGGAAACUUACGCUAAUACCGCAUACGACCCACGGGUGAAAGCGGCGGACCGCAAGGCGUCGCGCGAUUGGAUGAGCCGAUGUCCGAUUAGCUAGUUGGCGGGGUAAAGGCCCACCAAGGCGACGAUCGGUAGCUGGUCUGAGAGGAUGAUCAGCCACACUGGAACUGAGACACGGUCCAGACUCCUACGGGAGGCAGCAGUGGGGAAUAUUGGACAAUGGGCGCAAGCCUGAUCCAGCCAUGCCGCGUGUGUGAAGAAGGCCUCGGGUUGUAAAGCACUUUUGUUGGGGAAGAAAAGCCAGCGGUUAAUACCCGCGGGUUCUGACGGUACCAAAGAAUAAGCACCGGCUAACUUCGUGCCAGCAGCCGCGGUAAUACGAAGGGCUGCAAGCGUUACUCGGAAUUUACUGGGC